CACGUAGGGCGCAAGCGUUUGUCCGGAAUUAUUGGGCGUAAAGAGCUCGUAGGCGGUCUGUUGCGUCCGCUGUGAAAACUCGGGGCUUAACCCCGAGCCUGCAGUGGAUACGGGCAGACUAGAGGUAGGUAGGGGGAGAAUGGAAUUCCCGGUGUAGCGGUGAAAUGCGCAGAUAUCGGGAGGAACACCGGUGGCGAAGGCGGUUCUCUGGGCCGUUACCUCGACGCUGAGGAGCGAAAGCGUGGGGAGCGAACAGGAAUUGAGAA
rnacentral:rRNA from 1 species